GCUGAGUUGGGUAGCGCCUGCUUGUAGCCCGAGUGGGAGCAUAAAAGUGGUGAGACUCUGGGUCAACUAACUGAGUCGGUUCCAUUGAGGCCCCUCUCUGGCUCGCCCGUUCCAAGCAAGGAGUUGAGACACGGGUCUUGUACGAAGGUUCGGGUCUCGUGUCUCCUAUAGUGGAAGGAACGCGUGAGGCUGGUUUCACAGAGCAUCGAUAACUUCCCGCCGGUGCCACUUGAAUCCACAAUGGCUCUGUGGGGUUUUCCCUAAUCGGACCACCGCUUUU
rnacentral:SRP_RNA from 1 species